UGGGGAACAUUGGACAAUGGGGGGAACCCUGAUCCAGCCAUGCCGCGUGUGUGAAGAAGGCCUUAUGGUUGUAAAGCACUUUAAGCGAGGAGGAGGGUACUGGUAUUAAUACUACCAGGUACUGGACGUUACUCGCAGAAUAAGCACCGGCUAACUCUGUGCCAGCAGCCGCGGUAAUACAGAGGGUGCGAGCGUUAAUCGGAUUUACUGGGCGUAAAGCGUGCGUAGGCGGCUAAUUGAGUCGGAUGUGAAAUCCCCGAGCUUAACUUGGGAAUUGCAUUCGAUACUGGUUAGCUAGAGUGUGGGAGAGGAUGGUAGAAUUCCAGGUGUAGCGGUGAAAUGCGUAGAGAUCUGGAGGAAUACCGAUGGCGAAGGCAGCCAUCUGGCCUAACACUGACGCUGAGGUACGAAAGCAUGGGGAGCAAACAGG
rnacentral:rRNA from 1 species